rnacentral:tRNA from 2 species
GCCGGAGUGGCGGAAUCGGCAGACGCGCUGGAUUCAAAAUCCAGUGAGGGUAAACCUCGUGGGGGUUCAAGUCCCCCCUCCGGUACUA